GCCAUCAGAUGUCAGAGUUCAGUUGAUUAAUGACAUGGCUGAUAUAGAGUACAGGUUGAGUUUUGGGUGCAAUGAUAAGUUGCAAUUGGGAUCACUCAUUGCUUCUUUCACUAGGGCUCGAUCUGCUCUGGUUGCUGCGGCAAAGUAGUUCUUAAGCUGCUUUUGCUUGUCAUUUCACUUCUUGCUGAUUUCGGCCCGAAACAGUUGAAUGUUUGCUUGUGCAAUCAAGUCAUCCAUGUUUAAGAUUGUAAAGUAAUCAAGUUUGCAAGUUAAA
rnacentral:misc_RNA from 1 species